rnacentral:lncRNA from 1 species
AGAAAACGUGCGAAAGAAAUGCCUUUUUGUGUGAUUUACAUAUUUGAUGUUGUCCGCUAGGUGGAGACACUGAGGCCCGUUUUGUUGGUCGCCCCGACUGGUAGUCAGUCAUUCAGCCUCAGUACCAGUCAAGAGUGCGCUUCGAUCAGCAGCAUACCACAGAACAGAGCAGGGACGGAGAAUAGAGAGAUAAGAGGCUGCCUUCUACAUGCCGCUGUCGCCCGUUUCCUAGUGGGCAUUCUCAAAUUGGACCGCGAAGAAAGAGUGACUUUUCACAACGCAUUCGAAAAAGGAAUUUGUAUCAUGUUUCUUACUGCGGGCGCUCUAUUGAUGCUACUGGCAGCUGUGCAGGUUGCUGUGCAUGGCGGAGGGGCCGUGGGGUCGUUGCCACGGAGGCAGAGGUCGUUGCCGUGCACACAAGGGUUCUCCCAGGAGGAGUACAGUAUUGCCGUGGACGAGGAGCUGAGAGAGGGACAAGCACUCCUUACCGGUACGUCACACACACAAACACCUGUCUGUGUGAGCACAUAAGCACACACAGAUACACACGUCGAAUGCACACACACACACACACACUCAGUCAGUGGGUAGAGUCUGCACAACAGUAUGGAGGAGUUUUUCCUUAUGAACACUGAGGGAGGGGGAAGAUUAGGUGAGUGUCAGGGAGACAGUGUGGGGGUUGGGGGCAUAGUGGGGGAGGGGCUGAAACCGUCUACCUCGUCUCACACACAGUGGGUGUUUCCCCCACACACACACAAACACUGACAGUGGGUGUUUCCCCCACACACACACAAACACUGACAGUGGGUGUUUCCCCCACACACACACAAACACUGACAGUGGGUGUUUCCCCCCCCCCCACACACACAAACACUGACAGUGGGUGUUUCCCCACACACACUCAUUGACACAUGCACACACAAACACUGACAGUGGGUGUUUCCCCCACACACACAAACACUGACAGUGGGUGUUUCCCCACACACACACAAACACUGACAGUGGGUGUUUCCCCCACACACACUCAUUGACACAUGCACACACAAACACUGACAGUGGGUGUUUCCCCCACACACACUCAUUGACACAUGCACACACAAACACUGACAGUGGGUGUUUCCCCCACACGCACACAAACACUGACAGUGGGUGUUUCCCCACACACACUCAUUGACACAUGCACACACAAACACUGACAGUGUGUGUUUCCCCCACACACACACAAACACUGACAGUGGGUGUUUCCCCACACACACAAACACACAUAUUGGGUGUUUCCCCACACACACUCCACAUGCUGAUGAAACAGUGUGUGAUCAAUGAGAUUGAUCUGGCCAGCCUAUAUCCAUCCUCUGAUCAAUGACCUCUGUCUGUGAUCCACUCGGGGUGCGUGUGUGUGAAUGAGUGUUACUAAGCGGUGCGGUUGAUAGUGCCAGAUACAUACUGAGGCAGACCUAGCUGUGAGUCUGUGUGUUCAGGAUGGUUAAUUCACAGUUUAUUGUGCUAGAUGUCCUUUUCUAGUCUCUAGUCUGUUGGCUCUUUGUUUUAUUUACAUUUCAUUGGCUCCUGUGAAGCUGUCAAACUCUUGCAAGGUAGUGAUCUAACAGGAAGCUAUGGUAAACACAAAGAGUGGGGGAGAGGGAGGGAGGUAGGGAGUGAGAGAGGGAGGGAUAGGGAGCUAGAGAGGGAGAGAGAGAGUCAAAAAUAUAUAUUUUUAGUUCACUUUUGUUUAUUAUCUAUUUCACGUGCUUUGGCAAUGUAAACAUGUUUCCCAUGCCAAUAAAGCCCUUAAAUUGAAAUUGAAUUGAGAGACAGAGGGGGUCUGAGUGAGGGAGAGAGAUAGAGAGAGAGAGCAUCCCCCUUCCCCAUCCCCCAAUAAGAAUUUCACACCAGAGCAUGACAUACCACAGUCUGACUGGAUUUAGUGAGUGAGUGUGUGUGGAUUUGUGUGUGUGCAUGUGUGUUUGUGUGUAUAUGUGUGUGUGUUACGAUGUAAUGAUCUUUUGAUUGUCCUGCUGAUUCACUUCCUCUGUUCUUUGUAUCAGGACAUUAGCCAUUAGGUGUUGUACACAUAGGGUUGCAAAGGGAGGGUAUAUCACUUCAAACUUACCAGUAAACUGCAAGAAUUUUGUUAUCUUUCAUGGAUUUUAUAUAAUCUUUCACAAGACAUCUAGUGACCCUUUUAGGUACUUCAAAUUAUCACGGGUUUCUGUAAUUAUCCCUGGCCCUCUGUGUGGCCUUAUCACAUGUCAAAUAUAUGAAAUAAUUAAAUACAAUUAUAAAAAAUAAAAAAUAGAAUGAAAAAG